rnacentral:rRNA from 1 species
AUGGCCGCCAAGGGCGGCGGCGGCGGCGGGGUGGGGACGCUCAAGUCGACCUCCAUCAACGGCGUCAAGCUCUACUCCGUCACCGGCAAGAACUACGUCGCCCCAUGGGUCCUCGCCAAGAAGAAGCGCUCCCUCCGCAAGGACGCAGAGUACCAGCGCCGGCUGGAGCUGAUCCAUGACCUCAGGUUCGAGACCGCCACCACCAGGAUCAAGGUCACCCCCGACGGCCAGUACGUCAUCGCCUCAGGUAUUUACCCCCCACAAAUGAAAGUCUUUGAGUUGAAGGAAUUGUCAAUGAAGUUUGAGAGGCACAUGAUCUCAGAAAUUAUUGAUUUCGAGGUCCUUGGUGAUGACUACUCAAAACUUGCGUUCCUGUGUGCUGAUCGUUCUGUAUGCUUGCAUGCGAAGUACGGAAGCCAUUAUAGCGUGAGAAUUCCAAGAAUGGGAAGGGACUUGGCCUAUGAUUGCUGGUCUUGCGACUUGCUAUGUGCUGCUUCGUCAUCAGAUCUGUAUAGAAUCAACUUAGAGCAGGGAAGGUUCCUCGCAUCCCUUUCUUCCCAAUCUCCGGCAAUAAAUGUGGUUACACGGAGUAUGAUACAUGGGCUUGUUGCUUGUGGUGGUGAGGACGGUGCGGUUGAAUGCUUUGAUAUGAGGAGGAAGUCUUCUGUUGGCAGAAUUAAUACAGCUUCUUCUUCUGAAGAUGUUGACCAGGAGGUCACGUCUUUGCAGUUCGAUGAAAAUCAAGGGUACCUUCUUGCAGUAGGGAGCAGCGUAGGAAAGGUAUCUAUAUAUGAUAUACGCAUGUCUUCGCCUCUGCGAGUCAAGGAUCACAUGUAUGGCAGUCCAAUUUUGAAUAUCAAGUGGCACCAGACACUUAAUUCUUCGGAACCUAAACUGAUAACUGCUGAUAAGCAUAUAGUGAGAGUUUGGGAUCCUAAUACAGGAAACAACAUGACUAGCAUUGAACCUGAUAAUGGCUCUAUCAAUGAUGUUUGCAUCUUCCCGAAUAGUGGUUUAAUGCUAUUAGCCCUGGACAACAGCCAGAUACCUGCCCACUUCAUUCCUGCACUUGGCCCUGCUCCAAAGUGGUGCUCACAUCUUGAUAACUUAACUGAGGAGAUGGAAGAGAAACAAGAAAACACAUUAUAUGAUGAUUACAAGUUUUUGACUGAAGAAGAGAUGGAACGAUUGGGCCUCUCUGAGUACAAAAACAGUGAUGCUGUCAGAGCACAUUUACAUGGAUACGUGAUACGCUACGAUCUAUAUAAGAAGCAACGGGCUAAACUUCAUAUUGCUGAUUAUGAGACUCUUCAAAAUGACAUGAAGGCCAAGAAACUAGCAGACCUAAGGAAAUCUCGUAUAACGCAAGUUGUUAAAAUACCAAAGGCUAACCGGCAACUUUUGGACGAUAUACGGACAGCGGAAGAGGAAAUAGAUGCUGAUGUGGAGAAUGCUAGUAAAUCAAGCAUCAGGAAGAAGAAAAUGAAACUAGAUAUGAAAAAGGCAUUGUUGACUGAUCCGCGUUUCCAAAAAAUGUUUGAAAAUAAGGAUUAUGAAAUUGAUGUAAGUUCAAGAGAAUAUCAAGCAAUCCAUCCUCAACUGGCUACAAAGGAACCUCAUCUAAUCGAGGAACAUUUCGAGAGUGUUAGUGAAGACGAAGAAGAACAAGAUGCUGAUUCAUCUGAUGCGUCAGCGGAGUCUGACAGUGACAAUGACACGCAUAAUUCAAAGCGUAUAAGGUUGUAUGAAGUGAAGGAUGGACGCCAUGCCGAGGCAUUUUUGAACAGUGUCUCCCUUGGCAAUGAGGAAGCUGUGCCCAUUGGGGACAGGGUAGCCGCACUCGAAAGGAAACAGAACUCGCGUGCACUCGACAAGGUGAAGUACGGGCCCGGUGGCUCACGGGAGAUCUCCUUCAACCCUAGGAGCUCAAGAAGGCGCACCGAAGAAGACGAGCACAGCGAAGAAGAGCAGAAAGACUACAAGAGGAGAAGCGUGCAGUCCCUGGGGUUGAAGCAGAACAAAGCCGAGUUCUAUUUAUUCGGCGGACGUGGAGGCAGAGGAGGCGGGGGUGGUCGCGGCAGGGGANNNNNNNNNNNNNNNNNNNNNNNNNNNNNNNNNNNNNNNGGCAGGGGAGGUGGAGGCAGAGGUGGAGGUGGUGGUGAUUUUGGGGGCGGAAGUGAAUUUGGAGGCAGAGGUGGUGGUAGGGGCGGUGGCAGAGGCAGGGGCAGGGGUAUGAGUAGGGGUAGGGGAGGGGGCAGGAGCAGAGGAAGGGGUAGGGACUGA